rnacentral:ncRNA from 1 species
AUUAAAUCAAUGAUGUGAUCAAGUAAAUAAGAAUUGUGAAACAGAAAAUAUAGCAGUUGCUGAGAGCUAUAUCACCCCUUCUUAUUGAAACCUACCACGGAGAUGUAAGAAAAGCUUACCGAAUCUGUUCUCGUUACGAACGUUUAGAGGGUUAAAACUAGAAGUUUUAACUAAACUAAGGUGGUACCACGUCUAUUAUGCGCAUAGGACGUCCUUUAC